UGCUUGCACCGAGCGGAUGAGUUGCGAACGGGUGAGUAACGCGUAGGUAACCUGCCUCUUAGCGGGGGAUAACUAUUGGAAACGAUAGCUAAUACCGCAUAAAAGUCGAUAUCGCAUGAUAUUGAUUUGAAAGGUGCAAUUGCAUCACUAAGAGAUGGACCUGCGUUGUAUUAGCUAGUUGGUGAGGUAACGGCUCACCAAGGCGACGAUACAUAGCCGACCUGAGAGGGUGAUCGGCCACACUGGGACUGAGACACGGCCCAGACUCCUACGGGAGGCAGCAGUAGGGAAUCUUCGGCAAUGGGGGCAACCCUGACCGAGCAACGCCGCGUGAGUGAAGAAGGUUUUCGGAUCGUAAAGCUCUGUUGUAAGAGAAGAACGAGUGUGAGAGUGGAAAGUUCACACUGUGACGGUAACUUACCAGAAAGGGACGGCUAACUACGUGCCAGCAGCCGCGGUAAUACGUAGGUCCCGAGCGUUAUCCGGAUUUAUUGGGCGUAAAGCGAGCGCAGGCGGUUAGAUAAGUCUGAAGUUAAAGGCUGUGGCUUAACCAUAGUACGCUUUGGAAACUGUUUAACUUGAGUGCAGAAGGGGAGAGUGGAAUUCCAUGUGUAGCGGUGAAAUGCGUAGAUAUAUGGAGGAACACCGGUGGCGA
rnacentral:rRNA from 1 species